AUGGAAGUUCCCAGGCUGGGGUCGAAUCGGAGCUACAGCUGCUGGCCUACACCACAACCACAGCAAUGCCAGAUCUGAGCUGCAUCUGUGACCUACACCACAUCUCAUGGCAAUGGUGAACCCUCAUCCUCAUGGUUCCCAGUCGGAUUUGUUAACCACUGCACCACGGCGGGAACUCCUUUUUUUUUCUUUUGAAUUUGUUGACCCCACAUUUCUCAGAAGCUUCCGUUUACAAAAUUUUCAACAAGCUCACAAACCUACCAGAUUUGCUUCCCAAAAUUCCAAGCUCUGGUUUUCUUUGAGAACAAGGCAAACUGUCUGGAUACACACUUAAAGUUAUAAACAUAGAGGGCACAAAGUCUGAGAGCUUCCAACACUUGGCUCAUCAGAAACACUAGAGAAAGAGAAGAAGGGAGGGAAGGGGUGUGUGUGUGUGUGUGUGUGUGUGUGUGAAGGACGUAAAUAUUCGUGUGAUUUCUCUUUCAUGCUAGAAAGCAUCUGGGAUUUGGUACAAGGCUUGAGGCUUGAGAUUGGAGUUGUGUUCUGAAGAAACGAGGGGGACUUGAGAGGGCUGAAAGAGGUAGCACGAUGAAUCUCAAUGUGACAUGUAAACAAAGGAAAUGAGUAAUUGAAAAUAUCCUGUCUGUGUAUUCAUUUUCUGCAUACACGGACAAAGGCCAGGGUAUGAAACAAAUAGUUUCGGCCUUACUGUUACUUUGCUCUAUUAAAAAAAAAAAAAGUAACAUAGAAGUAUUUCCAUAAAUUUCAUAAAAUUCUAUUCAAGAAGGAAAAAUACCAUACUGUUUUUGUCCACAUUGGAAAAUUCCUUUUCAAAUAGUUUGGGUAAAUUAUUGGGAGACGUGUCAGAGGAUUAAGCUUUCCUGGUUAAACCUAGAAAGUAAAACCUCAUAAAAUGAUGCCUUUGGAGCAGAUUUUGGAGUCAAACAGUUCGAGACAAAUAUUUCAGUGUCCCAUUAUAAGAAUGAUUUCUUGACUUUUAGGCUUGAGGUUUUCCUUUUCUGGGAGAACUGCCCACAUCGGCCUUCUCCUGCCCUUCCCCAGGAUGUGCAGACACAGUGAACUAAGCUCUUCCUGCUAUAAAAAAGACUGUCCAGAGCAAGACUGCCCAUCAGAAAUAGAGCGCCCACUAUGAGUAUAAUUUUCAAUGUUUUAGUAGCCACAUUUAAAAAAGUAAACACAGGAAUUCCCUGGUGGUGCAGUGGGUUGGGGAUCUGGCAUUGUCACUGCUGUGGCAUGGGUUCAGUCCCUGGCCCAGGAUCUUCCACAUGCUGUAGGUGUGGUCAAAAAAAGUAAAAGUAAAUAGAUGAAAUUAACUUUAUUUAUAUAUUUUAUUUAACUCAAUAUAUCCAAAAUACUAUUAAGUUAACAUGUUGAAAGCAGCUCUCUGGCCCCUUUCCUGUUUGGCUUCUUCUGUUCCCCUCUAACCUUUAAAGAACCUAAUUAACCUGUUGAUUCUUUUCCUAGAUAAAAAGAAGCAAGAAUAAAGAAUUAAGCAGUAUAAAAAUGACUAGCUCUCUUCCCCCAGCAUCUCCCUUAGCAAUCCUGCAGGCAGAUCAUGGAGGUAAGGUAAUCUGUAGAGUCAACCGGUCUACAUGCAACAAGUAAAGUGGCAAAUUUAAUAAUGUAUCUAAAAGAUGCACAGCCAUAUAUAUGUCUAAUUCUACCUUAACUUUUUCCAACCUUUUCUGU
rnacentral:lncRNA from 1 species